rnacentral:RNase_P_RNA from 1 species
GAAUCCCUUCGGAUGAUCGCCAGCCACGCAUGUGGUUGGAGGAAAGUCCGAGCUUCAUAGGGUAGCGUAGUGGGUAAUGCCCAUCCCUUAGGUCCUCGAAAGGGGGCAUGAGGCGGAUUAGAGCCACAGAGACGAGUCUUCGCCACGUUUGUGGUGAAGGGUGAAACGCGGCAAUCUCUACGUGAAGAAAGGCCGAAUAGGACGAAAUCCCGUUUAAGGGAGGGAGCGACCCGCUUCUUGUGACACAUAAAGACAGAUUCGUCGGGUUGGCCGAUUGAAUUCUCAAGUGAUUGGGAAUCUAGACAGAUGAUCAUCAUCAUCACGGGAAGUCGGAAAAGGCGGUAACCGCAUUGCUGGCUUCGCCCUGAUGAACAGAACUCGGCUUACAGAAGGGAUUCUUUC